UACGUAGGUGGCAAGCGUUAUCCGGAAUUAUUGGGCGUAAAGCGCGCGUAGGCGGUUCAUUAAGUCUGAUGUGAAAGCCCCCGGCUCAACCGGGGAGGGUCAUUGGAAACUGAUGAACUUGAGUGCAGAAGAGGAGAGUGGAAUUCCAUGUGUAGCGGUGAAAUGCGCAGAGAUAUGGAGGAACACCAGUGGCGAAGGCGGCUCUCUGGUCUGUAACUGACGCUGAUGUGCGAAAGCGUGGGGAUCAAAC
rnacentral:rRNA from 1 species